AACUUAUCAACCGUGACUUGGGUUUAGGCCCCUGGCUCGGCUUGGAUUUGGGUGCUUGCGGUCCGCCGCUCACCUCAAAAGGAUUAGCUGGACAUGUCGUGAGACUUGGUUCUACUUGGCGUAAUAAGUAUUUCGCUGAGGACAUCCCCUCGUGGGGUGGCCAUGACUCUGGUACAAACGUCUGCUUUCUAACCCGAUCGUCCUCGGACAUCACUUUUUAUG
rnacentral:misc_RNA from 1 species